rnacentral:lncRNA from 1 species
CCCUUUGAACCGGGCGUGGGAUUGGCCGUCGCCUGCCCACCCCGCGGCUGCAGCGUUCCCUGGGGCCUAGCCAACCGCGGGCAGGGCUGGGCAAGGCGGGAGGAGCGCGGACCCAAGAUCGGCUACGCUGCGUCUGCUCAGGCUGCGAGUUCCCGGCUCUGGGGACUCACCUUGCGGAGCUUACCCAGGCGGACUCUCCGCAGCCCCUGAUGGGUGUGUGUGUCAGACCGUUUACUAAACACCAGGACUGUUGUAGGCGACUGUGAGGAGAACAGCCCAGUGAGGCUGAGGCCACACAAUUAACCCCAGUCUUUGCACUACAACUCUACCAGGGAUCCUGGUUUGGCUCAUUUUCUUUCUUCUGCACCAUGAUUGUUCACCUUUUCAUUACCAGCAACAUACCCAAAGACCUAGCUAUAGACUCGUUGGAAUCUGUUACUUAGCAGCUGUGUGAAUCAAGUGUUCAAUAGGAAUAAUAAGAUGUAUUCAUCUUACCUUUUCAGAACAUUAUGAAGAACAAAUGUGGUAAGACAUAUGAAAAUGCUUUGUAAAGUGUUAGAUGCUUAAUACACAGAAGACAUUGCUUCCAGAUCUGUUUCAACGUACCCCAAGAAUGGAAUAAGUGGAAUAUGCUGGUUUCAUGCACUGUGGCAAGGGGGUCUCAUCUUGGCUAGACUUGAAUAAGUGGAUUUGUUGCCUGGCCUCUGUGGAUGGCUCUUUCUCUGGGCUUUUGUGUAUUUGAUUUUUUAUUUGCUCCAGCAGCCGUGUUGAACCAUGAAAGGACCUCAGGAAUGAAACCCACACACAGCAAAGCAACAAAGUGAAAGAAGCGUGGAUUCCUAAUGCAGGAGGCACUGAACCAAUCAAUACCCACUGCCCUCCAGACCUCCACAUGAAAGAAAAAAACUGCUGUCCUGUAUUCCUUUAAGCCUCUCUGAAACUUGACCCUCUGGCAGGAACAGGUGCCAUUACAUACAGACACUCUCUCUCUUCCAAAUUCACCCUGUCAUAUCAAAGGGAAAACUGAAGUGGUCCACUGUAGACCUGACAGAUGAUCACAAACAGGAAACCAGCAAUCAGAAGUGCCUACUGAGCUCCCUACCCUGACCAUCACCUACAGCUACAUUUUACAGAUACAAAAUCAUUGUUUGUUCAACUUUCAUAUCAAAGGAUGCUAUUAGUUCAUUUCCAAAGGUGGGAAAAUGUUUCAACUUACUUUAUUACUUGUCUGCUACUUACUAUUUUCCCUCCGUUUGCCUGCCUGACUUCUUUUAACUCUUCACUCAACAAAUAUCUACUGACUACUGAGCACUUGCCAAGUGCUAGGCCAGAGCUGGAUGCUGUACUACGGGCAGAUGAAGUGCUAUGGGCAUCCAGAGGUGGAAGAAGAGGGUAUAGCGAAAGGGGAGAAAAGGCUGCAACAAUAUUCACUGAGCCCUGUGCUCCCAGGUCAUCACAUAGACUAUGUCAUUAUUCCUCCUAACCACCCACAUGAGUAAAUAGGGGCUAUUACUGAAGAAACAGAGGCUUACAAAGGUUGAGCAACUUGCCCAAGGUCAUCUAUCACAAGACACUACAAGUCAGACUGCUGAAGAGGGAGUUUCUGCUGAGAAGCUGAAGUGGGCAGCUCAUAUUGGAUAUGAAGGCUUCAAAGGAAUCUAAAUCCUAAUGAUCCCUCUAGAGCCAACAUGCAGCACCAGUUUUCUCUUCCACAUUUGAACUGCUCAUCCACUUCCGGCUCCAAGACCUCACUCUCCAUCUAAACUAGUCCCACGCCAUCCAUAUCUUUCUCCACUAACGCCACCCAAUCACAACCCCACAGCCUCUUAGUCAUGAGUCAUUUUUUAAAAACUGCAAACCAUGUAAUGAGCCAUGGCAAUAUGCAACCCUAAACCUCAACACGUGUUUUCCACAACAAGGCCACAGGUGGCAGAAGCGAGCCUAAGGCCGUAGGACACUAAGGCAGGACUCUCUGGCUUGAGCUUUCCAAAAAGGGAGGUGAGAGAAGGUCUACCUGCGGGAAGUCAUGCUGAAGGCCUGAGGCUGAGUCAAAGAAGGAGCCCCCUGGAGGCUCUGCAGUUCCUGGACUUCAGGUAGAGGAACUCUGCCAUGAACACCUCUGGAAUCGUGUCAUUUUGGGACAAUUAGAGAAUAUCAGUUUUCAGACUGAGUUCUAUGGGAAGGUGCCUGCACAACAAAGGAGAGACGGAAUGGACUUCAGGUCUUCCAAAAUACCCCUCAUGUUCACCAAGUUGCUCUCUGCUCUAAGAUACCAGAUGAGGGGGCCAGUGGGGACUGAAACCCAGUCCCCAGUCUGCUGGCCAAUCCCUUUGCCUGUGAGGCUGCUCUGUCCUACCAGAGAGGGCACUUUUCAUAAUUUGCACCAAGUACAGAAUAGGAUAGUGUAGCUUUACCCUUCUCCCUACCAUCAACCACAGACACAUCAACACAUGCACACAUACAGCCACACAAAUAUACCUACAGGCAUACACAUACAACACAGGCACAUACAUGUUUGCACAAAGUCACAUGUAGACACAAACGCAGAGCACACAGACACAAACACAGGCACAAACCCAUACUUACACUACACACACACACAAACACACACAGACACACAAAUGCAAAUUAAGCCACAAUGUAGCACAUAGAGAUAUAGACACAGACGCAAAUACAGUCACAUAGAGAUAUAGACACACACUUAUACACACAUAUAUGUAAAUAUACAGUCUCAUUCACUUUAUACCACACAUGUAUAAACAUACACAAUUGUAUGUAGACACACAUACACAUAGGUACUCAGACCGCAUAGAUACAUAUGUACACACAUACAAAUAUAUGCACAUACACAGAUAUAUAUAUACACACAUGCAUCUUUAACCAGAACAACUUUACUUUUGUCAGUUUUAUAUGACAGAGUCUUUAAAAAAAGAUUUCAUCUGGCUUGUGUUCUACUAUUAAAAGA